rnacentral:lncRNA from 1 species
CGUCUGACGUGCAUGCGAAGUAGAGGAUCUACAAAUCCAGGCCUCUGUGAAGAUUUAUAUUAAAUAAUUUGGAAUUUGAUCUCUGGUUCUACUACAUUUCAGGUAAAAAUUUGCUCAUUAAACAAGUAGAAUAUUAGAAAAUUUUUAGAUGCAACUUGGGCAUCCUGGAGGAAAACUGUUUUCCUUCCCUUCACACUGUAGAC